rnacentral:sRNA from 1 species
GCUGGGCACAGUGGCACAUGCCUGUAAUCCUAGCGGCUUGGGAGGCUGAGGCAGGAGGAUCACAAGUUCAAAGCCAGCCUCUGCAAAAGCAAUUCAGUGAGACCCUGUCUCUA